AUCCUUUAGGUAUCUGAUCCGAUCUAAUCCAAAUAAGGUGUAUUUUACAGGAUUCGAUUAGAACACAGGGCGAAUGUGGGUUUUUGAAAAAUAUUCAAAGUAAAUUCGAAUCGAAUACGAAUAAUGAUAUGUCCUAUCCUAAAUCUAACGUGAUAUAAUCUUAAUAUAUAUCUUCUUUUCAAAAUUAUAUUUGUUUUAUAGUAUGUACAUAUAUCUGAUCUGAUUCAAUCCUUCUUAUUUGUUCGAUUCAAUUUAAUCUCUCUUAUCUAUC
rnacentral:lncRNA from 1 species